GCUUACGGCCAUACCACCCUGAGAACGCCCGAUCUCGUCUGAUCUCGGAAGCUAAGCAGGGUCGGGCCUGGUUAGUACUUGGAUGGGAUUCCGCCUGGGAAUACCAGGUGCUGUAAGCU
ensembl:rRNA 5S_rRNA 5S ribosomal RNA